GGGCAGGAGCUCAGAGUAGAAAUGACCACAUUGACCACUGAACCUGAAGGGGUCUUAGCAGCCUCACAAAGUCACCUGAACUGCCUUGUUGGGGGAGGAGUUGCAGAAUGACUUCACUAGAUAGAGACACAGAACAAGCCAUGCAGCAUCCCUGAAGGGACCACAAGGCUGAGAUGAGGGAUGUGUCUUCAACAAGCAGGUGCCUGAUGGGAUCUGAUCUUAAUCGUCAUUGGUGUGUCCAGAUGCCAUCAAGGGUCAGACUGUUCCCCUCCCUCCAAAGGUGCCUCUCCCCUUCCUGGGCUUAGGUACAACCCUAAAGAACUGCAAGCUCACUGAGACAAAGUUUCUGCCACUCCAGCAGAAUGGAGGAUUUACAUAGAAAAAUAACAACAGCCCUAGCACAUUUCUUACACAUGGAGUCACUGAGAUUUGUUACCAGGAGAUUGAAAAAUAAUCAAAAUAAUCAUCCAGCAGAAGUGUGUCUAGGGAAAUGCAGUAAAAUGUCACAGUGAGCCCAGUCACUCAGGAACUUCUUGGAGGUUAGAUGUACUGAGAGUCCUAAGUAAACAUGUAAAUCUGUGGCUUAUUUGGCAUAAAUCUUUACAUUAUUUUACAAAAUUUUCCCUUUAUGCUUUUACACAGACCCUCCACAUUCUGGGCCAACACGUCCAACCUCAUCUUCUAUCCCUUCCUGCCAUCUGGCUCGAUGCCUGACAUCCAACAGACUAAGAGGCCAAAUGGAAGAUGUCACGUGUCUCUGCGGCAACUGCUCAGUGCUCUGAAACACCCACAGAAGAUAUGUAAACCACCAGUGUGGCCGCCUGCCAAUAACACUGUUGAUGAAAAUAGGCUCUGGGCCUGUUUGCGAGCCCAGCUUUAUAAGGUUAGCUCCUGCCACGCUGGGCUUUCUCGUGACUUCAAACCCUCCUCAUCUGACUCAAGCUUCUAUCCAAACUGGGAGGUCAAUAGAAUGUUCCUUAGAUAUCAUUCUAAAAAUUCCACACUAUCCACAUUAUCAAUCUGUGCUUAG
rnacentral:lncRNA from 1 species